rnacentral:rRNA from 1 species
UACGAAGGGUGCAAGCGUUAAUCGGAAUUACUGGGCGUAAAGGGUGCGUAGGCGGUUAUUUAAGUCUGCUGUGAAAUCCCCGGGCUCAACCUGGGAAUGGCGAUGGAUACUGGCGAGCUAGAGUGUGUCAGAGGAUGGUGGAAUUCCCGGUGUAGCGGUGAAAUGCGUAGAGAUCGGGAGGAACAUCAGUGGCGAAGGCGGCCAUCUGGGACAACACUGACGCUGAAGCACGAAAGCGUGGGGAGCAAACAGG